rnacentral:rRNA from 1 species
AAUCCGAUUGAUCCUGUCGGACCCCACUGCUCUCGGGAUGGGUCUUACCAAUGCGAGUCGAGCGGCCUGGGGUAACAGGCACGCGGCGAACGGCUCAGUAACACGUGGUCAACCUGCCCGGAGGACGGGGAUAACCGCGGGAAACUGCGCUAAUCCCCGGCAAGCGAGGUGUCCUGGAAUGGCGCCUCGUGGAAAGGCAGAUCACGUAAUCCUCGUGAUCUGCGCCUCUGGAUGGGACCGCGCCCGAUCAGGUAGUUGGUGGGGUAACGGCCCACCAAGCCUAAGACCGGUACGGGCCCUGAGAGGGGGAGCCCGGAGAUGGGGACUGAGACAAGGCCCUAGGUCCUACGGGGCGCAGCAUGGUCGAAACUUCUGCAAUGCGCGAAAGCGCGACAGAGUCAUCCCGAGUGCCAUCCGCUGAGGGUGGCUUUUCCCCAGUGCAAAAAGCUGGGGGAAUAAGGGGGGGGCAAGUCGGGUGUCAGCCGCCGCGGUAAUACCCGCUCCCCGAGUGGUGGGGACGAUUAUUGGGCUUAAAGCGCCCGUAGCCGUCCCUGUGUGUUUCAUGUUAAAUCCGACGGCCUAACCGUCGGUGUGCAUGAAAUACUGCAGGGAUAGGAGGCGGGGGAGGUCGCCGGUACUCCUAGGGUAGGGGCAAAAUCCUCUGAUCCUAGGAAGACCACCAGUGGCGAAGGCGGGCGGCCAAAACGCGCUCGACGGUGAGGGGCGAAAGCUGGGGGAGCGAUCCGGAUUAGAUACCCGGGUAGUCCCAGCCGUAAACGAUGCGGGCUAGUCGUCGGGGUAGGCAUGUCCUUCCCCGGUGACGCAGGGAAACCAGUAAGCCCGCCGCCUGGGGAGUACGGCCGCAAGGCUGAAACUUAAAGGAAUUGGCGGGGGAGCACCACAAGGCGUGAAUGCUGCGGCUUAAUUGGAGUCAACGCCGGGAACCUUACCAGGGGAGACAGCUGGAUGAAGGCCAGGCUGAAGACCUUGCCAGACUAGCUGAGAGGAGGUGCAUGGCCGUCUUCUCAGCGGGCGAUCCCCCACUGAGACGGUAAGCCAGCUCGUGCCGUGAGGUGUCCUGUUAAGUCAGGUAACGAGCGAGAUCCCCGCCUCCAGUUGCCACGACUUCCGUUAGGAGGUCAGCACUCUGGAGGGACAGCUGCCGAUGAGGCAGAGGAAGGAGGGGGCAACGGCAGGUCAGCAUGCCCCGAAACCCCUGGGCCGCACGCGGCAGAUAAUGGUAGGAACAGUGGGCUCCGACUCCGAAAGGAGAAGGCAAUCCCUAAAUCCUACCUUGGUUGGGAUCGAGGGUUGCAACUCACCCUCGUGAACGUGGAAUGCCUAGUAACCGCGUGUCACCAUCGCGCGGUGAAUACGUCCCCGCUCCUUGCACACACCGCCCGUCGCUCCACCCGAGUGAGGCUCGGGCCAGGCUUGCUCCGCGUGGGCAAGACGAACCCAAGCUUUGCGAGGGGGGAGAAGGCGUAACAAGGUUGCCGCACGGGAACGUGUGGCAGGAUCACCUCCA